rfam:Eutrema salsugineum unplaced genomic scaffold scaffold_2, whole genome shotgun sequence.
AACCCAUGGUGUGGGCAUUGGUUGGUGUAGCUCCUGAAUCUCUCAUAUGCUUCACCAAAACUCUCAUUGUUGUGCUGAGUGAAGCUAGAGAUUUGAUUCCUUAGUUU